CGGACGGGUGCGUAACACGUGAGCAACCUGCCUGGAAGAGGGGGAUAACCCGGGGAAACCCGGGCUAAUACCGCAUAAUGUGACCAAUCCUUAUGGGUAAGCCACCAAAGAGGGCGUCCUUCGGGAGCUCUCACUCCCAGAUGGGCUCGCGGCCUAUCAGCUUGUUGGUGAGGUAACGGCUCACCAAGGCGAUGACGGGUAGCUGGUCUUAGCGGAUGAUCAGCCACACGGGGACUGAGACACGGCCCCGACUCCUACGGGAGGCAGCAGUGGGGAAUUUUGGACAAUGGGCGAAAGCCUGAUCCAGCGACGCCGCGUGCGGGAGGAAGCCCUUCGGGGUGUAAACCGUUGUCAGGAGGGAAGAACUGAUUCGGGUUAAUACCCUGGAUCUCUGACGGUACCUCCAGAGAAGCGCCGGCUAACUCCGUGCCAGCAGCCGCGGUAAUACGGAGGGCGCAAGCGUCGUCCGGAAUUACUGGGCGUAAAGGGGGCGCAGGCGGCUUGUUAAGUCCUGUGUGAAAACCCGCGGCUCAACCGCGGAAUGCCACAGGAUACUGGCGAGCUAGAGACGGGUAGAGGCGAGUGGAAUUCCGGUGUAGCGGUGGAAUGCGUAGAUAUCGGGAAGAACACCAGUGGCGAAGGCGACUCGCUGGGCCCGUUCUGACGCUCAGGCCCGAAAGCGUGGGGAGCAACAGGAUUAGAUACCUGUAGUCCACGCCGUAACGAUGGCACUAGGUCGGGAGUGUACUUUCGGUCGUAGCUAGCGUUAAGUGCCCCGCCUGGGGAGUACGGCCGCAAGGCUGAAACUCAAAGGAAUUGACGGGGGCCCGCACAAGCGGUGGAGCAUGUGGUUAAUUCGAUGCAACGCGAAGAACCUUACCUGGGCUUGACAUGCUAGGGAACUCGGGUGGAAACAUCCGGGGCCCUUCGGGGCUCUAGCACAGGUGCUGCAUGGCUGUCGUCAG
rnacentral:rRNA from 1 species